GCACCCUAUUACCCUAUAUCCUGCACUUCUUUAGGGCCCCGGAUCAAAUGUAGUGGUCUAUAUAGGGAAUAGGGUGCCAUAGGGCCCUGGUCAAAUGUAGUGCUCUAUAUAGGGAAUAGGGUGCCAUAGGGCCCUGGUCAAAUGUAGUGCACUAUAUAGGGAAUAGGGUGCCAUAGGGCCCUGGUCAAAUGUAGUGGUCUAUAUAGGGAAUAGGGUGCCAUAGGGCCCUGGUCAAAUGUAGUGCUCUAUAUAGGGAAUAGGGUGCCAUAGGGCCCUGGUCUAAAGUAGUGGUCUAUAUAGGGAAUAGGGUGCCAUAGGGCCCUGGUCUAAAGUAGUGGUCUAUAUAGGGAAUAGGGUGCCAUAGGGCCCUGGUCUAAAGUAGUGGUCUAUAUAGGGAAUAGCAGAACAGCAACUUGUUUUAACCGUCUAACCAACAUCUUCCAUCACAAGUGUUAAACCCCACUUCCCUUCUCUACAUCAGAGUCCGAUGCUGGUAGACCAGAGAAUCUAGCUACCCCACUUCCCUUCUCUACAUCAGAGACCGAUGCUGGUAGACCAGAGAAUCUAGCUACCCCACUUCCCUUCUCUACAUCAGAGACCGAUGCUGGUAGACCAGAGAAUCUAGCUACCCCACUUCCCUUCUCUACCAUCAGAGACCGAUGCUGGUAGACCAGAGAAUCUAGCUACCCCACUUCCCUUCUCUACCAUCAGAGACCGAUGCUGGUAGACCAGAGAAUCUAGCUACCCCACUUCCCUUCUCUACCAUCAGAGACCGAUGCUGGUAGACCAGAGAAUCUAGCUACCCCACUUCCCUUCUCUACAUCAGAGACCGAUGCUGGUAGACCAGAGAAUCUAGCUACCCCACUUCCCUUCUCUACAUCAGAGACCGAUGCUGGUAGACCAGAGAAUCUAGCUACCCCACUUCCCUUCUCUACCAUCAGAGACCGAUGCUGGUAGACCAGAGAAUCUAGCUACCCCACUUCCCUUCUCUACCAUCAGAGACCGAUGCUGGUAGACCAGAGAACAGAAGACCUCUGUUAUCAAUGUAACAUCCCAGGACAGGCUGACCCAGACAUGUGUACAUCAGGAAGCUCUGACAUCAUAUCCUCCCUCCUCUACAUCAGGAAGCUCUGACAUCAUAUCCUCCCUCUCUACAUCAGGAAGCUCUGACAUCAUAUCCUCCCUCCUCUACAUCAGGAAGCUCUGACAUCAUAUCCUCCCUCCUCUACAUCAGGAAGCUCUGACAUCAUAUCCUCCCUCUUGUUGCUCCGUUAUAUCCUGAUAUAGGAACUGCAGCACCAACCUUAUUCACGACGUCGCUCCGCUCAAAACGUCCAGACCACACAAACACAUUCCUCAUCCUAUCCAUUUGAACUGUGUGUAUCAUGUUGUCUGUACCGGGUCACUAUGAGCAGAACUGUAAAGUGCACUUGGAGAAUGACAACAUUUAAAACCAGACAGGAGACAGACCAGGACAGGGGACAGACGGGAGACUGUCUCAGCUAGGGACAGACGGGAGACUGUCUCAGCUAGGGACAGACAGGAGACUGUCUCAGCUAGAGACAGACAGGGGACAGACCAGGACAGGGGACAGACGGGAGACUGUCUCAGCUAGGGACAGACAGGAGACUGUCUCAGCUAGGGACAGACGGGAGACUGUCUCAGCUAGGGACAGACAGGAGACUGUCUCAGCUAGAGACAGACAGGGGACAGACCAGGACAGGGGACAGACGGGAGACUGUCUCAGCUAGGGACAGACAGGAGACUGUCUCAGCUAGGGACAGACAGGAGACUGUCUCAGCUAGGGACAGACGGGAGACUGUCUCAGCUAGGGACAGACGGGAGACUGUCUCAGCUAGGGACAGACGGGAGACUGUCUCAGCUAGGGAC
rnacentral:lncRNA from 1 species